rnacentral:lncRNA from 1 species
UCUCUCUCUUUCUCUCUCUCUCUUUUUCUCACACUACCACCACUGAUGAUCUCUACAAGCUCCUAAUACCUUUCUACACUAAAGAUCUCCACUAAAUUCAUGCCCUAAAUCUCUACAACCUUGAAUCUAGAGCUAGUUUUAAAGAAGUUUCAAGAUUUAAGUCAACGAAGAGUUUGCUCUUUUCAUUGAAAUCAUUGAGUAAGUGAUAAGUCCACUUAGAUCUAGAUCUAUUUGUGUUAUAUUUAUGUGUGUAUGGAUAGAUCAAGCAAGAAAAUAUUUCCUUUCUAAUUCUUGUAAUUUUUGAAAAAUUAUAGGGUCCUUUACCCUUCAAUUUUUUUUCUUUUCUUAAAUUGAGGUUAUUUAAAUGCUAUUGGGAUCCUAUUGAGUCUAUUUCCAUGUGUAGAGAAUGGAUUUAAAAAGAGAUAUGAGAAUUGAAAUAGUUUAGUUUGUGUAAAUUUAGGAAGUUUUGGAUUUGAGGCUUGAUUGAUGAAUUGAAUAUGGAUAUAUGUUAUUGAGGUUGCUAAGAUGAUAUUUGAUGGAUUGAAUUGAUGAUUGAGAUUGAUUAGUGAUUUUUGAUAUGAGUUAGUUUGAUGUAAUUUGGGUAAAAUUGAUUCUAUGGUUUAAUUUACUAAUUGAUUGUUUAUUCAUGCUAUUAAGUGAUUCAAUUUGAUAGAUCUAAGGUUUGAUUUAUGAUUUAUGCAUGUUUACAAAUUUUCAAAAAGUUUAGUUUGUUAAAAAUUGAGACUUUAUGAUCUAUGUGUUAAUUGAUUAAAUUGGCUAAUGUUAACUGUUAUUAAGCAUGAUAGGAAUGAUGAGUUCCUGAAACCUUCUCUUCCGCUCUCUUUUCUUUUUCUUUUUACGAGCACUCUUUUUCCUUCUUACAGUUUUUCCCAUGGGGUUUUCUGUAAAAAGGUUUUAAUGAGGCUCGGCCCUUAGUCUGCGCCCCUGUGCUCUCAAGGGUUCUCUGUUCCCGUUUUCCUUUUUUUUUCUCUUCAAUAAAAUCGCAACUUAAUAAGCAUGAUAGGAAUGAUAAUUAGGGAUCAAUUUGGUUAAUUGUUGAGAAAGCCUAAAAUUGGUUAAUUUUAGUUUACUAAUAAUUGGGAACUUUUGAUUAAUGAUAUAAAUACUUGAAUUGAUGAUGUUUAUGUGUUAAUUAGACUACUAGGAAGGAGAAAUCAUGAUUAAAUUGUUUAUUAAUAAUGAGUUAUGAAAAUUUCCCAAGUUUAGUUUGCGUGCAUACUUGAGAUCUUGUAUAUAAGAUGAGUUAUGAGUUGAGCAUGUCUAUAUGUGGCUAAUUGAUGAUAAAUUGAGCUUAUAUAUGCGAUAUGAGACAAAAUGAAUCGUCCCCUAAAAACUUGUGUGUUGACCGAAUACAUGUCAACGAAGGGGAAGUCGAGUUUGAUUUUUCUUGAGUUGUAUGAUCAUGUAUUUAUGUUAUUGUGUAUUAUGUGAGCUUAAUUUGAAUUUUUGAGAAUUUUUCGACGAAGAAAUCUCGAGUUUAGUUUGUUAAAAAUGACAUAAAUUGGAAUUACUUUCUUAUGUUAAUUAUUUUUAGUAAAUUGAUUUAAGAAUGCGCUAUUAUAUGUCCUUAACUUUCUAAAUUGAAUUUUUGAGAAUUUUUUCCCAACUAAUUAUAUAUAUAUAUAUAUAUAUAUAUAUAUUUACAAAAAGUUUUUAAAGGUGUUUGCUAAGGUGCUAUUGAACUUGAUUAAUUAUUCUAUGAGCUAAUUUAGGAUUGAUGAUGCAUUGUGUGUACUUAUCUAUGUGCUUGUGUGUUGAGAUAGUCUAGUUCUAUAUGAGUGAUAAGUCGAGAGAAGGAUUGGUGUUUACAUAGGAAGACUAAUUGAUAUAAGAAUGUUAUAGUUGGAGUGAAAUGAUCAGAAGCGAUAGAAUAAUACUAAGAUAAGAGUAGUAUUGUUAGUGAUGAAGUCUUCUAACUUGUUUUAUCUUAUCUCAUGGACCAUUUAUGUCGUCUAUGAUAUCUGAAGAAACGAGUAGAGGACGAAAAUCAGUUACGUCAAGUAUCGAGGAAAGUAAACUAAAGACUUCACGUGGGCAUUAUUUUGAUACCCUUAUUAUACAAGUGUACUAAAUGAUAUGAUACUUAUGAAUAUGAUUUAAGUUAACGUUAUGUUGAAACUAAUUGACUUGCCAAAUUUUAAUGAUAAGCUUGUAUGUUACCCUCUACUGUUGAGAUGAAUUCGGUCCUGCCACAAGCGGGAUUUUGUGCACAGAGGUGACUGUGAGCCGUCGAUCGGGUCGGCCGGUCAUGGUACUUGAGAGGGAGGCCUACUUCUCAGUACCUUUGAUGAUGAAUAGUGGAUAUGGUACAUGCAUGAUGAAUAGAAAUCGAAAGGUAUGUCACUACUUGUUUUAUUUACUUGGCUGUGGUGAAAGUGUAUAAAUUUCACAAUUUUUUAUUUCCUUUGCAGGGGAAAAACUAUGGUUUUUUCGAAUGGUGUGAUGAGCCAAUGUGUGAAAGAGCUAGAGAAGUUAUAAAUGAGUUGAAGAUUGAAAAUGUGAAGCUCCUAAGCAUCCAUCAAAGUUCGCCCCCCCUCAUGGAUGUGAAAAAUGAAAUUGGUAAUCUUUGGAAUGUAAUCGAAGGCUUGAAGGAAGAAACCAGGAGAGUUAGAAGGAAAAAUAGAAUUGUUGUGAUGGUUUUGAUAUUAUCUUAGCUGAUGAUAGGCUAUGUUAUUCAAGCAUGAAGAAAGUUGUAAUUUUGGCUUGUUAGUCUUUCAUUCAUUAAUUGUAUUUUGUUCUUUAAUCAAUGAAUGAAUGAAAAUGAGUUUGAUUCACA